rnacentral:rRNA from 1 species
UGGCGGACGGGUGAGUAACGCGUGGAAAACCUGCCGUAUACUGGGGGAUAACACUUAGAAAUAGGUGCUAAUACCGCAUAAGCGCACAGCUUCGCAUGAAGUGGUGUGAAAAACUCCGGUGGUAUACGAUGGUUCCGCGUCUGAUUAGCUUGUUGGUGGGGUAAUGGCUCACCGAGGCGACGAUCAGUAGCCGGCCUGAGAGGGUGAACGGCCACAUUGGGACUGAGACACGGCCCAAACUCCUACGGGAGGCAGCAG